AGUGAACGCUGGCGGUAGGCCUAACACAUGCAAGUCGAACGGCAGCACAGAGGAGCUUGCUCCCUUGGGUGGCGAGUGGCGGACGGGUGAGGAAUACAUCGGAAUCUACUCUGUCGUGGGGGAUAACGUAGGGAACUUACGCUAAUACCGCAUACGACCUACGGGUGAAAGCAGGGGAUCUUCGGACCUUGCGCGAUUGAAUGAGCCGAUGUCGGAUUAGCUAGUUGGCGGGGUAAAGGCCCACCAAGGCGACGAUCCGUAGCUGGUCUGAGAGGAUGAUCAGCCACACUGGAACUGAGACACGGUCCAGACUCCUACGGGAGGCAGCAGUGGGGAAUAUUGCACAAUGGGCGCAAGCCUGAUGCAGCCAUGCCGCGUGUAUGAAGAAGGCCU
rnacentral:rRNA from 1 species